AUGCCACCAGAUUUGAGGCUAUGCUUUGCUUAUUAUUGUGCAGUCUUCCCAACUGGCCACAACAUAGUCAAAGAUGACCUGGUUCAUCAAUGGAUUGCUCUGCACCUCAUUGAGCCAUCUGAAACAUUGUCUGCCGCACAGAUAGCAGAGGAGCAUAUUACCAGGCUUCAGAACAUGUCAUUCCUUCAAACUGCAGAGCUGGACCACGCCAGUGGAGCCAAUAAGGGUGCAAUUUUGUUGACUAUGCACGGUGUGGUGCACAACCUCGCGACAACGUUCCUAGAAAGUUCAAGCUACCAUCUAGCCACCAAUCAUCAUGGGAAACUUGAUGUGCCUUAUGGUAAGUACAUAAGAGCACUGCGCUGUGUCGGCUGUAGCAACGUGGAGUUUAAAGGUGGCUCAUUUCCACAUGAGAAGUGGCUACGUGUCCUGGAACUAACGGAGAGCUCCGUGCUGAAGCUACCGGACUACAUCUUGCAACUGAAGCACCUGGGGUAUCUUAAGAUAUCAAAAUUUACUGGACUGGUAACUCUUCCAGAGUCUGUUGGGCAUCUGAAAAAUCUGUUCCAUAUUGACUUAUCAGGAUGCUCCAGGCUUGCAGCUCUUCCGGAAUCAUUUGGAGAUCUCGUAAACUUAACCCAUGUCAAUCUGUCACGAUGCCAUGGACUGACAGAGCUUCCAGAACCACUCCAGAAGCUUGGCAAACUGGUACACCUGGAUUUAUCAUUCUGGUCUUGUUUUGAAGGUAUUGGGGAACGCCUUGGUGGCCUCACCAAUCUGGAGCAUUUGAACUUGUCGCACCCUUGCUGUCAUCUUGUUCAGCACCGUUCCGAUCUCCAGGGUCUGAAAGAUGGUCUGUGCAAGCUCACCAAACUCCGGUAUCUGAACUUGUCAGCGUGCCUGAAUCCUAUCUUUUACUACCACCAGUCACAAGAGGACAGUCUCAAAUUCCUUGGAGAGUGUGUCAGCGGUCUUUCCAGCCUAGAACAUUUGGACCUGUCUCAUCAUACAUUUCUUUUUGGUUACCUGCGAGUCUUGGUGAGCUCAGCAGGCUACACACACUGGAUCUUUCAGGCUGCAUCAGAAUCAGGAAGGUAG
rnacentral:rRNA from 1 species